rnacentral:snoRNA from 1 species
CUUGUUAUGAUGAUCUUUUUUAAUUUGCUACAACCAAGAUCGCAGAAUGAUCGUGUUGAUAACCUUGUCUGAGGCU